rnacentral:lncRNA from 1 species
AGGAGUUGCCCUUCCCAAAGGCAGUGGCAUUGUCACAAGAUGUUCUCUAUUAUUGGGGCUGAAAAAACUUGUUUAUGAUGAUAGGUGAAGAGACAGGGUCAGUCACUGGCUUUUGAGAUCCAGAUUUCAGAUGCUUCAGAGACAGGAAGGAAAAAAAGUCACUGAAGCCCAAUAUUGCUAGGAAAGGAAUAUGAAUCAGUCAUAUGCUAAUCCUACUGAAGAUAGGUCCUCACAUAUCCAGUAGACCUUCCUGGUACAAGGAGUGUAUUAUUCAUUCAGCCUGCUCACAUUUAGUGGUAAAGGAAGGCACUCAUCAAGAGGCACAUCCACAAGCAAGAAAUGAUCCACUUGGUGGUCAUUAGUUACAUGGACAUUUUUCAUCAUAGGGGUGAUGAAAAUUGCUCAGAAAGUAGGCCCUAACACAGAUAGCACCACAAUAAUCUUGACAAAGCCUGAUCUGGCAGCCAAAGUACCAAAUACAAGAUCCUUCAUGUGAUAUGAACCCUGGCGUUCC